GGCGGCAUGGCCAAGUGGUAAGGCGGGGGACUGCAAAUCCUUUAUCCCCAGUUCAAAUCCGGGUGUCGCCUGAUGAACAAA
rnacentral:tRNA from 6 species